AGCAUCUGCUAUACCCACCCAGCGUAUAACCAUCUAUCCCUUCUCCUCCCUUCCUAACCAUCUCAGCUUUUAUUCAGGUGUCCCUGUCCGUCCCAUGUAGCCUGAGUGUCUCAGGGGAAGCUGAGCCUACCCCAGCUCCAGGCAGGGGUCCUGACUAGCACAGCCAAUCAGCACAUUCCAGACCUCUGGUUAUGGUAUGGGUUCAAGGAGGCAUGUGACUCAGUCCAAUCAGAGUGGAUCUCAGGAUUCCUGCUUGGAAUGCUGGGUCAGAAAUGGCUUUUGGUAUCAGGUAGCUUCUGGCAUUGAAGCUUUUCUGGUACUGGCUACAGAGAGAAAAAAUCAGCCUGAAGACAAAACCAACACAAGGGAGGGCAGAGUCAAGAGAACUGCAAAGGAUAGCUGGAACUUUACUUCUUCAGAGGAGUCUCCUACAUGCCUAUUGUAGUCAGAUCUCUUCCAUCACAUGUGGGACACAGCUACUGGUAGCCCUGACUUCCAGGGGCAGAGAGCUUCUCUUGUGCUACCUGUACACUGGUCCUGAAAAAGAAAUCUGCUUGGACCAGACACAUGUCUGUUGGAACUGUCACCACUGAGCCUACAUGGCUGGCUGGGCCUAGGUGCUCUGUCCUGUCUUGUAACCAGGAGUAGGGAGUCAGUUAGAUUCACCCUGUCAUAUACCAGCUCCUGGGAGACUUUGGGAGAGUGGCUUCACUUCUCCAAGGUUGCAUUUUUUUCAUCUCUAAGGUGUGGAUGAUAAUUAUCCACCUUAAAAUGUGGCUGAAGAUACACAAGUGUAGCACUGGGAGGGGCCAUGUCCCUGACUUGGAGUUGCUCAUAACGGUGUCUCUUAGAGACUCCAGUUCUCUACCCCCUUACUGAUACCAGCCCCCAAGUUACUUUAAUCAAAACUCAUAUAUGUCAUUUACUAUGUACAUGUGUUCUAAGCACACAUCUCCCUCUAACUAUGCUAUCCUGUAACUAUUCCCCUAUUAUAGGUGAGGAACCUGCUGUACAGAGAGGUUAAGAUCUUACCCAAGGUCACCUAGUUAAUAAGUGGCAGAGUUGGGAUUCAAACUCAGGCAUCUUGACUUCACGGCUGUUUGGAGCUGGUCAGACUACUUUCGUGAUCCUGUGUCUCCUCCCCUCUCCUCUGCAUACCUGCUCUGUUUGCUCUGGUUCUUCCAUCAUCACCUCCUGCCUGUGGCCUCAUCUCUCCAGCGCUGAUCUUCCCAUCCUUGCAGCCAAAUGCACAC
ensembl:lncRNA